rnacentral:snoRNA from 1 species
AAACCAUGGUGUGGGCAUUGAGCUUGGUAGCCCUUGAAUCUCUCCCAGGCUUCACUGAAGCCUUCCAAGUUCUUCUGUUGAAAACUGGAAAUCUCAUUUUUCAGCUU